rnacentral:sRNA from 1 species
CUUCCUCAGCCUGCUGCGGCGCGAUGAAGUGGAUGUGGGUGUCGAUGCCGCCCGGGGUCAGGAUCUUGCCCUCGCCAGCAAUCACAUCCGUACCGGGACCGAUGAUGAUGGUGAUGCCCGGCUGAAUGUCGGGAUUGCCAGCCUUGCCAAUGCCGCUGAUGCGGCCAUCCUUCACACCGACAUCGGCCUUCACGAUGCCCCAGUGAUCGAGGAUGAUCACAUUGGUAAUGACGAGAUCGGCGACCUCGGCCGCAUUCCGCUGGCUCUGCCCCAUGCCGUCGCGGAU